CACGCCGUAAACGAUGAGUACUAGGUGUAGGGGGUAUCGACCCCCCCUGUGCCGCAGUAAACACAAUAAGUACUCCGCCUGGGAAGUACGAUCGCAAGAUUAAAACUCAAAGGAAUUGACGGGGACCCGCACAAGCAGCGGAGCAUGUGGUUUAAUUCGACGCUACGCGAAGAACCUUACCAGGACUUGACAUGGAAUUUAAAACUCUAGAGAUAGAGCCAUAACAAGUUCACACAGGUGG
rnacentral:rRNA from 1 species